AUGAACGCUGGCGGCGUGCCUAAUACAUGCAAGUCGAGCGAACGGACGAGAAGCUUGCUUCUCUGAUGUUAGCGGCGGACGGGUGAGUAACACGUGGAUAACCUACCUAUAAGACUGGGAUAACUUCGGGAAACCGUAGCUAAUACCGGAUAAUAUUUUGAACCGCAUGGUUCAAAAGUGAAAGACGGUCUUGCUGUCACUUAUAGAUGGAUCCGCGCUGCAUUAGCUAGUUGGUAAGGUAACGGCUUACCAAGGCAACGAUGCAUAGCCGACCUGAGAGGGUGAUCGGCCACACUGGAACUGAGACACGGUCCAGACUCCUACGGGAGGCAGCAGUAGGGAAUCUUCCGCAAUGGGCGAAAGCCUGACGGAGCAACGCCGCGUGAGUGAUAAAGGUCUUCGGAUCGUAAAACUCUGUUAUUAGGGAAGAACAUAUGUGUAAGUAACUGUGCACAUCUUGACGGUACCUAAUCAGAAAGCCACGGCUAACUACGUG
rnacentral:rRNA from 1 species